GACGAACGCUGGCGGCGUGCCUAACACAUGCAAGUCGAGCGAAGUUAUUCCUUCGGGGAUAACUUAGCGGCGGACGGGUGAGUAACACGUGGGUAACCUGCCUUAUAGAGGGGGAUAGCCUUCCGAAAGGAAGAUUAAUACCGCAUAACAUGAGAUUCUCGCAUGGGGAUUUGAUUAAAGGAGUAAUCCGCUAUAAGAUGGACCCGCGGCGCAUUAGCUAGUUGGUGAGGUAACGGCUCACCAAGGCGACGAUGGGUAGCCGACCUGAGAGGGUGAUCGGCCACAUUGGGACUGAGACACGGCCCAGACUCCUACGGGAGGCAGCAGUGGGGAAUAUUGCACAAUGGGGGAAACCCUGAUGCAGCAACGCCGCGUGAGUGAUGAAGGCCUUCGGGUUGUAAAGCUCUGUCUUUGGGGACGAUAAUGACGGUACCCAAGGAGGAAGCCACGGCUAACUAUGUGCCAGCAGCCGCGGUAACAC
rnacentral:rRNA from 1 species